CUCCAGGCUCCUCUGUCCAUGGGGAUUCUCCAGGCAAAAAUACUGGAUUGGGUUGCCAUGGCCUCCUCCAGGGGAUCUUCCCGACCCAGCGAUGAACUCCAUCUCUUAACUCUCCUGCAUUAAUACCACCUGGGAAGCCCAAGAUAAAGCACACUUGCUGUUAUACUGCGUUUCAACCAAAUAGGAUGAUGGUGGUAAUGCUAAUUUGAAAGCUGGGUAAACAUAUUAAAGUUUCCCCCGACCUCACCAGUCUGAGUACAGGUAAGGUCUCAUGGUUACAAUCUGUUUGUGGUACUUACUCAAACGUCUCCUUACACUCAGUUUGUACAUCACAGAAACCCCAGCUCCCUCUCUGUGUCUCACCCAGUGAAUUCUAGGUGCUCCUGGGCGGGGAGGGUCUUCUCUCGGUUCAUUCCAACAAUAAUUCUCUCCGGUUCUUCAGCCCAGUAUCUCCUAGCUCAUGCUAAAAGCUCAAGAUACCACCUGGGGAGGGAGUGCCCACCCUCAGAACCUGGUGUUGCCUGUCAAAUCUCCCAGGGGUCCCAAAGCUGCAGAACCGUGGAAGUCCAGAGCAGGGUGCCCUUCCAGGGCCUGCGCUGUGCAUGACUCACGCAGCAGUGGCAGUUACGCCUUUACUCCCCAGAUGCAUUCAGUGAGGGGGUCAGCCCUGCUUGCCUCCUGCUGUGUCAGUCAGAGUCUGUUCAGACAUGGCGUCGGAUGCUAGCUGCACCCCGUCUCCAGGCCCAAGUCCGCGCACUGGCCAAAACACAGACAUUAUAUCUGCCUUGUUCCAAGAGGAAAAAUAUGAAUUGGCCUCAAACCAAAAAAUCUGCCACCUGGAACUGAGUUUCUCAUCUGUGGGAUGGCCAGUACUUGUGAAUGCUGUCGGCCAGCAGUUCUCCAUUUCCGCAGUUUUUUUGAGUGGGGAGUUAUCACCCUUUGGAAAUUUCUUUCAAGAUGCAUGUGGAAAUUGAAAUUGCAAUAAUAUGAAGAUAAAAUCUUCCUGCCCAUGCCCAGCCCUACUGCUCACAGACACAAGAACCCAAAUGGAAGGAGGAACAGCUGGUCCCUUUUACUGAGUGGAGGAGAUGCAGAGGAGUGGAAACCCAGAGAAAAAGGACACCUAGGAUGCUGCUCAGCCAGCCUGACACAGAGAUCGGAGGUCAGACUCUGAAGUCAGGCAGACACAUCUGGACCUGAAUCCAGGCAAUACCCCUGAAGAACCACAUGAUCCAGGAUUGUCAUUUCCACCCUCCCAGCCUCGGUUUCUGUAUCUGUAAAGUGGAAGCUGAUAUCAACUCA